GAGUCGAUCCUAAGCCAGCUGUGAAAGCAGUGACAUCCCGACAAAGGGGCGUUUCGUACGCGUGCUGCACUUGCACCCCCUAGACGAUGAUGAUUAAUCUCUCUCGGUGUUUGAGGACUGGUUACGCUAAGAAAGCGUUAAAAGGCAAGGCAAAACACACCGUCAAAAGAGAGUGAGAGGGUGAGCGCGAGUGCACAUUAACGUGCGGGAUGCUUCCUGCGUAGGUUCCAUGUCAGGCGAAAGGGAAUGGGGACUUUGUUCCUUGACCGGUCCCGGCACCCUCGAUUGGCUUCGCCAGUCAAUGGUCCAUGCAAAUGGAACCAGGCCACAGCCGCCGGCAGUCGCC
rnacentral:rRNA from 1 species